rnacentral:misc_RNA from 1 species
UCACCGCUUGCGCGGGCAGUCUCAUUAGAGUCCCCAGCUUUACCUGUUGGCAACUAAUGAUAGGGGUUGCGCUCGUUACGGGACUUAACCCAACACCUCACGGCACGAGCUGACGACAGCCAUGCAGCACCUAGUUUCGUGCUAUUGCUAGCUGCCAUGUUUCUACGGCAUUCACUAACUUUCAAGCCCGGGUAAGGUUCCUCGCGUAUCAUCGAAUUAAACCACAUGCUCCUCCGCUUGUGCGGGCCCCCGUCAAUUCCUUUGAGUUUCAUUCUUGCGAACGUACUUCCCAGGUGGAUUACUUAAUGCUUUCGCUUAGACGCGUGCUGUGUAUCGCACACAUCGAGUAAUCAUCGUUUAGGGUGUGGACUAC